rnacentral:rRNA from 1 species
GAACGCUGGCGGCGUGCCUAAUACAUGCAAGUAGAACGCUGAAGAGAGGAGCUUGCUCUUCUUGGAUGAGUUGCGAACGGGUGAGUAACGCGUAGGUAACCUGCCUUGUAGCGGGGGAUAACUAUUGGAAACGAUAGCUAAUACCGCAUAACAAUGGAUGACACAUGUCAUUUAUUUGAAAGGGGCAAUUGCUCCACUACAAGAUGGACCUGCGUUGUAUUAGCUAGUAGGUGAGGUAAUGGCUCACCUAGGCGACGAUACAUAGCCGACCUGAGAGGGUGAUCGGCCACACUGGGACUGAGACACGGCCCAGACUCCUACGGGAGGCAGCAGAAGGGCGAAUUCGU